rnacentral:rRNA from 1 species
AGCAGCCGCGGUAAUUCCAGCUCCAAUAGCGUAUAUUAAAGUUGUUGCAGUUAAAAAGCUCGUAGUUGAAUUUCGGGAUCAAAUUGUCGGUCGUGCCUCGGUACGCACUGGUAUUAUUGGUUCCUACCUUCUGAAGAACCGCGAUGUCAUUAAUUUGGUGUCGUGGGGAAUCAGGACUGUUACUUUGAAAAAAUUAGAGUGUUUAAAGCAGGCUUACGCUUUGAANACAUUAGCAUGGAAUAAUGAAAUAGGACGUUUGAUUCUAUUUUGUUGGUUUCUAGGAUUGACGUAAUGAUUAAUAGGGAUAGUUGGGGGCAUUAGUAUUCAAUUGUCAGAGGUGAAAUUCUUGGAUUUAUUGAAGACUAACUACUGCGAAAGCAUUUGCCAAGGAUGUUUUCAUUAAUCAAGAACGAAAGUUAGGGGAUCGAAGACGAUCAGAUACCGUCGUAGUCUUAACCAUAAACUACGCCGACUAGGGAUCGGAUGAUGUUAAUUUUUUAAUGACUCAUUCGGCGCCUUA